rnacentral:lncRNA from 1 species
UACCCUGAGAUGGGGUAGUACAGGCUGAGGGCUAAGCUAAGCAGAUCUCCCUCCCCCCACCCCCACCGCUAAGAAAUGUGCCUAAAGGGAAAGUUAUCUGCAGAUCUGGGCUUGGGCUCUCAUCCUUCUGUUAGGCAAUUUCCCUUACUCCCAGUCUCUAUUAAACAGAAACAGAAAAGUAUGUAGGUCACUCAGGAACCUACUCAGCUGGAUCUUGGUGUCUUGAGUCUCAAGGCAGGUUUCCUGAAAGGAAGAAGAAGGAGCUCCCUUUAGUGAGAAUCCAGAAAUUGGACGUCCCUUCGGCUGAAGGAGCCUGUGAGCCUAUCAAGAUGGCGCCUCCCACCUCCCUCUCUGAUGUGGAUCCUCUUGGAAAGUCUGGGCCCCUCUGAGGGUGUCCAGGCAGUCGUCCUAGAGCUCUGGGCAUGGACUUAGAUCAAAGUAUAUGUCAGACACUGGAGGGUAAUCCCAGGAAGUGAGGCAGACCCCCAGGAGUGAUGGCAUGGAUUGAACAGACUUACAUUUCUAGUGUUGUUGUUGCCUAGGAGAAGCCUCAUGUUUCUCUUAAGUGGUUCAAUUUCCUGGCAGUUGGUGAUGUUAUUCAGGACUUCCAGUGCUGCACAAAACUGUGGAGGAAAGAGGCCCAGGUUAUAUGAAGCUCUUUGAUUCCUGGAAUUCAGACCCUGCUUUUCUUGAAUUUGCUGUUCUUAAGCAGCAAGGGCAGCCCAUUGAGGGCACCAUCUGUGAGGGAAAAGGGGGCCAACCUCCAAAGGGCAAGUAGACACUGUAAUCAGCCCAAUGUUUAAUCUCCCAGAUCAUUAUGAUGAUCUACAAUUCAUCCUGUUUCCUCGGACCUGGGAGGAGAAUGGUCCUGAGGGCUUACAAUGGAGGAAAGCUUGGUUUAUGGAAGAAAGAGCUGAAUGAAAAGAGAGAGACUCUGCCAAGGAUUUGUUUGGUGAAGGAGAUAAGUGUGGAGGUCAGGAGAGUGAGCUGUAGGAUUUCAAAAGUCAGAGUUCAGGCGUCCCUGAGGUCCCAAGGAGCAAGGAGUGAUCCUCAAGUAAUCAGACCUAGUAGUUGAGACAAGAAUGCAUCUGGCAGUUGUUGUUGAUGUUGUUUGUUCCCCUCCCCCUCAACCAUUUCCCCCCAACUAAGAGGACCAAUGGCAUCAUGAGGUGAUGUCUUGGUUUGCAAUGAAUUGGAUUCAAAUGAGGCAAAGUUAUACAAAGUCAUUAGUCUUACUCUUUCUUCCAGAGUCAUCAAAGUCCAAUGGCAAGAAAGAAGUCAAAGCAACUGGCAAUGUCCUGGAAUGUAGUGGAUGAUCUUGGCAUCUUCAAUAUCCAAUCAAACUCUAAGCACUCCACAAUAUCUGCUUUGGCUGCCUUCAUGGCCAUUGGAACAAAUUAUACUUAUUUGCCCAUUUCAUGGCAGGAGUGGGUAUGGGUGGAUAUUAUGCUGCACAAAAGUAAAAUAAUGGGUUAUAUGGGAAUUUUUAUAAGGGUG